rnacentral:rRNA from 1 species
GAUGCCAGCUAGCGAUCCGCCAAAGUUCCUCCGAUGACUUGGUGGGCAGCUUCCGGGAAACCAAAGCAUUUGGGUUCCGGGGGAAGUAUGGUUGCAAAGCUGAAACUUAAAGGAAUUGACGGAAGGGCACCACCAGGAGUGGAGCCUGCGGCUUAAUUUGACUCAACACGGGAAACCUCACCAGGCCCGGACACCGGAAGGAUUGACAGAUUGAGAGCUCUUUCUUGAUUCGGUGGGUGGUGGUGCAUGGCCGUUCUUAGUUGGUGGAGCGAUUUGUCUGGUUAAUUCCGAUAACGAACGAGACUCUAGCCUACUAAAUAGACGUACUUUAUUACCGGCAUCUCAAGGCCCAUCGGCUGUAUUGUUACUGGAUGUUAUUUGUAUAUUUUGUUAAUAUUCUAUAUGUCUAUUAUAUGUAUGAUUGAAUAUUAAUGUGUGUGUAUAUUAUUUUGUGUGUGUAUAUCACGCACUUAAUUUUAAAUUACAUAUAUAAUUAUUUUAAUCUGCAUUAAUGAUAUACGUUUAAAAACAUGAUACAUUAACUAAAAGUGACAACAGUUUUUUGAUGUGGUUUUUACUGC